rnacentral:misc_RNA from 1 species
UUUAGGGAGACCUACACCCCUUACAUAUCGAAAAGCAAACAGCUAUAUAGAUAGUAAGUUGGUCACGCCCUAGGUCGGUCGAGAAUUGGUAUAAAGCUUUCAAAGUAUUAAUGGUUCAGAAUAUCAAACAGAAUUAACAAUAUACAGUGAGAAACCAGCAACAUGACUUUCGGGUCAGACUGCUGAGUUAGUUCUCAGCCAGAACCUUGAAAACUGCAUAGUAACGCGAAAAUAGCAGGCAGACACAGACAUUCCGAAAGGAAUUAAUUGUGAAUGCAAGUCAUUAAAAGACCAAAAGAAUUGAGU